rnacentral:lncRNA from 1 species
GCCACAUCGAAGAAAACUAGCAAGAUGAUUUGUGCAAAUAAUGUGAGUUUUUUUCCCAUGUUUUUGAUCGCGGGCUAUUUCAUUUCGCGUAAGCCUAUUUCAAGCGCUAUAGAUGCUUUAGCGCAUGCUAUAGCGGCUGCAAUACGCCAUAGCGUGCUGCCGCUAUCAACGCUAAUUAACAUUUCAGCAGGAAGUGCAAACCAAACAACCAGCAACA